rnacentral:rRNA from 1 species
GACGAACGCUGGCGGCGUGCUUAACACAUGCAAGUCGAGCGGUAAGGCCUUUCGGGGUACACGAGCGGCGAACGGGUGAGUAACACGUGGGUGAUCUGCCCUGCACUUCGGGAUAAGCCUGGGAAACUGGGUCUAAUACCGGAUAUGACCUCCUAUCGCAUGGCGGGUGGUGGAAAGAUUUAUCGGUGCAGGAUGGGCCCGCGGCCUAUCAGCUUGUUGGUGGGGUAAUGGCCUACCAAGGCGACGACGGGUAGCCGACCUGAGAGGGUGACCGGCCACACUGGGACUGAGACACGGCCCAGACUCCUACGGGAGGCAGAAGUGGGGAAUAUUGCACAAUGGGCGAAAGCCUGAUGCAGCGACGCCGCGUGAGGGAUGACGGCCUUCGGGUUGUAAACCUCUUUCAGCAGGGACGAAGCGCAAGUGACGGUACCUGCAGAAGAAGCACCGGCUAACUACGUG